UAACAUUUUCAAAACAAGCAGGGCUGGGUCUGGUUAGAACUUGGAUGGGAGACCGCUGGGAAUACCAGAUCAAAGUGGGGC
rnacentral:rRNA from 1 species